CAUAAUAAUUCAGAAGUAUAGGGGAAACUGUUAAAGGAACAGUCUUCAUAAUUUCUUCUUGUGUGUUUCAAGGAAGAAAGAAAGGCAUAAGGAUCUUAAAGGACACUCUCCCAAUCUGGGGCUGAUAAAAGGAGGGGCACCGGUGGGGGUGCGGCGGUGUACAGGAGUGACUACACCGGAGCUCAGUCUCCUUAACUUCAUUACCAUCACUGCACACUGACUUAACCAAUUUAUUAGAGGCAAUAUGUUCCCUGGGCAAGUGUUUAACAGAACAUGUAAGUUUGACCAGCUCUGUUCAGUCAAGGAUACUUCUCUCCUCUUCCCCAUUAAGAAAUGGGAAAUGUAAUGGAAGCUACGCGCCAUACAGUACCUCUAAGAUAUGUCUUUUCCAUUCCUGAGCCAUCUGCCUCAUUCAUUCUCUCCCGGAUUUGCCUGCGGCAGCAGGUCCCUCCAAUGGCCUUGCUUUGGGGCUAGGAGAGGGGGGAAGCGGAGGGGCAUGCUGACUCUCUGGACAGCCUUGAGGCAGACCAGCGAAACUAGGUGCUAACUCUGUUUUACGAAGGAGGGGCUGCUGGUUAAGCUUUGCAAAGGCUCAUGGGAAAUCUGUCUCACAACUGAUUCUGACUCGAAGCCAAUAUGCGGUAUCACAAACUAUUAAUGGGGACAAAUUUUAGUUUGAUUAAUAUGAUUUUUUUCUCCCUCUUUCUCUGUUUAUCUGUGCCAAAAAUGGGAAUGCAGGAAUAAAAUGUAAUUAUAACUGUAUGAUAUUUUAAAGAGAUACCUCCAUGACUUUAAACAGAACAAAAUUCACUGUUCAAAUUAUUACAUUAAAUCAGAUCUUCCUGAGUAUGAC